UUGCCAGACUCCUACGGGAGGCAGCAGUGGGGGAUAUUGCACAAUGGGGGAAACCCUGAUGCAGCGACGCCGCGUGGGUGAAGAAGCGCCUCGGCGCGUAAAGCCCUGUCAGCAGGGAAGAAAAUGACGGUACCUGAAGAAGAAGCCCCGGCUAACUACGUGCCAGCAGCCGCGGUAAUACGUAGGGGGCAAGCGUUAUCCGGAUUUACUGGGUGUAAAGGGAGCGUAGACGGUUAUGCAAGUCUGAAGUGAAAGCCCAAGGCUCAACCAUGGGACUGCUUUGGAAACUGUAAAACUGGAGUGCAGGAGAGGUAAGCGGAAUUCCUAGUGUAGCGGUGAAAUGCGUAGAUAUUAGGAGGAACACCAGUGGCGAAGGCGGCUUACUGGACUGUAACUGACGUUGAGGCUCGAAGGCGUGGGGAGCAAACAGGAUUAGAUACCCUUGUA
rnacentral:rRNA from 1 species